rnacentral:rRNA from 1 species
AACGAACGCUGGCGGCAUGCCUAACACAUGCAAGUCGAACGAGACCUUCGGGUCUAGUGGCGAACGGGUGCGUAACGCGUGGGAACCUGCCCUUAGGUUCGGAAUAACUCCCCGAAAGGGGUGCUAAUACCGGAUAAUGUCUUCGGACCAAAGAUUUAUCGCCUUUGGAUGGGCCCGCGUUGGAUUAGCUAGUUGGUAGGGUAAAAGCCUACCAAGGCGACGAUCCAUAGCUGGUCUGAGAGGAUGAUCAGCCACACUGGGACUGAGACACGGCCCAGACUCCUACGGGAGGCAGCAGUGGGGAAUAUUGGACAAUGGGCGAAAGCCUGAUCCAGCAAUGCCGCGUGAGUGAUGAAGGCCUUAGGGUUGUAAAGCUCUUUUACCCGGGAGGAUAAUGACAGUACCGUGAGAAUAAGCUCCGGCUAACUCCGUG